AUAAUUAAAAGAAACUAUCCUCUCUUUCUAUAUUCCUCUUGCAAGAUCUGAACUCAUCCCUCUCUCUAUAACCAUCCUCUCUGUCUCUGUUCUCUCUUUAUAUCACAGAUCUAAGGGUGGAUGUGGCGGGUUGUGGAUUUGGUUGCAGGUGGGUGGGUGUCAUGGGCGGCGGUGGCCGGUGGGUGUUAGGGGCGGCGGUGGCCGGUGGGUGCUAGGGGCGGCAGUGGCCGGUGGGUGUUAGGGGCGGUAGUGGUGGGUGGGUGUUUGCAACCAUGUGUAGAGGUUCCCAUCAUCUGCCCCAACUGUGUGUGUUUUGUAUUUGGUAUUUAAUGGUGGUGGUGGGAGGUGUUUCACUCGCCACCGGAGACGCCGGUAUUUCAAUCGCCACCGGAGACGGCGGAGAAGAAACUUCUGUUUUUGAGAUAUUUUACUUUUUAGGUCAGUGAUUGUUUAAUUGUUUAGGUUAUUUCACAAUUUUAUUGAAACUAAAUAUUCAUAUGUGAAUAACAACAGUUAUUGAUAUUUUACUAUGUUUUUGAGAUA